rnacentral:rRNA from 1 species
UACGUAGGGACCAAGCGUUGUUCGGAUUUACUGGGCGUAAAGGGCGCGUAGGCGGCGCGGUAAGUCACUUGUGAAAUCUCCGGGCUUAACUCGGAAAGGUCAACCGAUACUGCGGGGCUAGAGUGCAGAAGGGGCAACUGGAAUUCUCGGUGUAGCGGUGAAAUGCGUAGAUAUCGAGAGGAACACCUGCGGCGAAGGCGGGUUGCUGGGCUGACACUGACGCUGAUGUGCGAAAGCUAGGGGAGCGAACGGG